CGACCAGGGUGAUGUCCUUCAGCAGGUUGUCGCCUUGCAACGACAGCUCCUGCACCGGCUUCAGGGAAGCGCUGAUCCUGGAGAAGGAAGACAGAGACGGACGGAACGGCCUGCACACAAAAGAAGAAGAAGGUGUUAAUAGGUCAUAAGUGUCCAUCCCUUCUGACUGAUGCGAUGAGGAAGAUGAGUGGACAGAAGAUGGACCACGCUCGUCCUCUAAGGAAGGGACGGACGGACAGAAACAGACAGAGAGAUUAUUUAAAAAAACGGUAGACAGAAGAUAAAUAAGGUCAUUCAGUUCAGAAACUAUAAAAAAAAAUGUAUAUUUUUUAAAAAUACAUAAAUAAAUAUAUGCAGAAAUAAAUGUGAAAAUAAAUGAAAAUGCUUCUAA